GAAAGCCUGACGGAGCAAUACCGCGUGAGGGAUGACUGCCUAUGGGUUGUAAACCUCUUUUUUCAGGGAGGAAUAAAUGACGUGUACCUGAAGAAUAAGCAUCGGCUAACUCCGUGCCAGCAGCCGCGGUAAGACGGAGGAUGCAAGUGUUAUCCGGAAUCACUGGGCGUAAAGCGUCUGUAGGUGGUCUAGUAAGUCAACUGUUAAAUCUCGAGGCUCAACUUCGAAACCGCAGUCGAAACUAUUAGACUAGAGUAUAGUAGGGGUAAAGGGAAUUUCCAGUGGAGCGGUGAAAUGCGUAGAGAUUGGAAAGAACACCGAUGGCGAAGGCACUUUACUGGGCUAUUACUAACACUCAGAGACGAAAGCUAGGGUAGCAAAUGGGAUUAGAUACCCCAGUAGUC
rnacentral:rRNA from 1 species